rnacentral:rRNA from 1 species
GGGAUUGCCCUAGUAACGGCGAGUGAAGCGGCAACAGCUCAAAUUUGAAAUCUGGCUCUUUUAGAGUCCGAGUUGUAAUUUGCAGAGGGCGCUUUGGCUUUGGCAGCGGUCCAAGUUCCUUGGAACAGGACGUCACAGAGGGUGAGAAUCCCGUACGUGGUCGCUGGCUAUUGCCGUGUAAAGCCCCUUCGACGAGUCGAGUUGUUUGGGAAUGCAGCUCUAAAUGGGAGGUACAUUUCUUCUAAAGCUAAAUAUUGGCCAGAGACCGAUAGCGCACAAGUAGAGUGAUCGAAAGAUGAAAAGCACUUUGGAAAGAGAGUCAAACAGCACGUGAAAUUGUUGAAAGGGAAGCGCUUGCAGCCAGACUUGCUUGCAGUUGCUCAUCCGGGCUUUUGCCCGGUGCACUCUUCUGCAGGCAGGCCAGCAUCAGUUUGGGCGGUAAGAUAAAGGUCUCUGUCACGUACCUCUCUUCGGGGAGGCCUUAUAGGGGAGACGACAUAUUACCAGCCUGGACUGAGGUCCGCGCAUCUGCUAGGAUGCUGGCGUAAUGGCUGUAAGCGGCCCGUCUUGAAACACGGACCAAGGAGUCUAACAUCUAUGCGAGUGUUUGGGUGUCAAGCCCGAGCGCGUAAUGAAAGUGAACGGAGGUAGGAACCCGCAAGGGUGCACUAUCGACCGAUCCUGAUGUCUUCGGAAGGAUUUGAGUAAGAGCAUGGCUGUUGGGACCCGAAAGAUGGUGAACUAUGCUUGAAUAGGGUGAAGCCAGAGGAAACUCUGGUGGAGGCUCGCAGCGGUUCUGACGUGCAAAUCGAUCGUCAAAUUUGGGCAUAGGGGCG